rnacentral:lncRNA from 1 species
UUUGUUUAGUUAAUAACAUUAGGCCAGAAAGAAUCACCUAGUCAUUUCAUGUUACUCGAUACACUGCUAAUAUAAACAAUGUCUAAUUACACUGACGACAUACUUCCAUGAAAUGACCAAUUAGAACAUUUACUCAUUCUAAAUGUAUGCUAUUAGAUACAUUUCCACAGGCUUUCUGGUAUUAAUAAAUUAGACAUCAGCUAGUAGGAAGUGUAAGAACAGAAUAUGCGGGAGAAAAAGUUCUUUUUAAAUAGGACAAAGAAUAUUUCAGUAUGCAGAUACAGUAUACUAGGGGCUGUUACCUCCCAUAAAGGUUCUCCCCCAACACCUUGCCCCCACCAAAUUUUACAAAUGAAAAGAAACUUAUUCUCUGGGAGCAUGAAAUUUUGCAAAUUUGUAUACUCUUCUUGCUGAAUCAAGAAGCUCAUACCACGUCUUCAAGAUGCAGGAUAAAGGAGGCAUGUGUUAGCAUUUUAAUAUUUAGACCCACAAACCUACAGCGAUUUGCGUUCAAUUUCAAAACUGAUUUAUUGGCUGUGAUGUGCAGUCAGUAUGAAUAAUACAGAAGUGUCUCUUAUUUAUUUUAUUUAUUUUACUUUACUUAUGUGUCAAUAGCUUCCGCCAGAAAAUAUCAGUCCAGCAUGUAACAACAUCUUACAGAGUGACACAAUCUGAUAACAAAAUCAAAACAGAAAAAUAUAAUGAGAACAAUCUCAUCCUCAUCUGAAGAAAAAAUGCUGAUUGUUCAAAACUGCUAUUUUAAUGAUUGAAUGGCUAUCCCUUAUGUAAUCAUGCUGAAAAUUUUGCCGGUUAGUUAAAGUAAAUAACAGCGCACCAGUAUGUGCAUUACCAAAUCAAACUAGCAUAAAGUAUUAGAAAUACUGGAAAAAAUGAGACAGCUAUUUGUGCAACUUAGAUAAAAGAAAGGCAUUUAGAAUAAAUGCAUGCAGUACAUCAAAACAAAAAAAAAAAAGAAGAAGAAGAAGAAGAAACUGAAAAAUGAUCUGAAAUCAUUGAUAUUAAUAGUUACUGCACAGAUGCCUAAAAUACUUGACUGCUACACAUGUCGACAUGAGGUAAGAUCUCCAUCCUUCUCCCGCUUAAAUGAGUACAAAUGUUGGCACUUAAUUGAGUGGGUUAUGGUCAGGUGUUUUUCCUACCCCUGCUAGCUGAUGUCCUAAACAUUACCAUUCUACUUAAAUGAAAGCUUUUCUUGGAAUAAAAGGCCACAUGAUGACAUACAGAUCUGACCACUAGGAAUUCCUUGAGAGAAAUAAAAUGUAACUUAAAAGCUACAGCAUGUGAAUAAUUACCAUUUGCUAAAAGUAAGAUUAACAAAUGUUCUUUUAAGUCAAUUGGUAUAUUCUAAAUGUGCCCUACGUUGUCUUAUCCAGGAUAUUUAAAAAUAAACUAUAUGAUAAACUUUGUCUUACUGUGUUUAGGUUAAUAAAAGAGAGUAAUUAAAAGACUCUUACAUUUUCUUCUAAGAGCUAGAAAUUAUUAAACUGUACAGAAAAGAAUCCAGGCUUUUAUUUAAAAAAUCAAUUUUUGAGCUGAAUUGCAAUAAAUCAAUAACAAUGCUAUUGUUCAAUAGGUAAUAAUUGUCUUCAUAUAAACUGAAAAUAUUGUUUGGGAUGAUUAAUAUACAAUGCUGCAUUAUGCAUUUGGGAGUGUCGAUGCAUAAUUUUUAGUUCUAAUGUUAUUAUGUAAUUGAGAGAACAUGUUCAUUUGCCCUAAUAACUACUAAGAUGCACUUAAUAAAAUGAAAUGUAAUAAUACUUGUAAUUUAAUCUAUUCAUUGAAGUAAUUUUAAAAGUCUACCAUUCUCUUUAAUGUGGAUAACAUUCAUAAUUUAUAAAGUGUUGUGAUGCAGAAUUGACAAUGCCAUUGUUUUUUACACUUUGAGAUGAUUCUGCAGCCUUCAUUAUCU